CUGAAAGGAAGAUUAAUCCAGGAUGGGAUCAUGAGUUCACAUGUCCGCAUGAUUAAAGGUAUUUUCCGGUAGACGAUGGGGAUGCGUUCCAUUAGAUAGUAGGCGGGGUAACGGCCCACCUAGUCAACGAUGGAUAGGGGUUCUGAGAGGAAGGUCCCCCACAUUGGAACUGAGACACGGUCCAAACUCCUACGGGAGGCAGCAGUGAGGAAUAUUGGUCAAUGGGCGAUGGCCUGAACCAGCCAAGUAGCGUGAAGGAUGACUGCCCUAUGGGUUGUAAACUUCUUUUAUAAAGGAAUAAAGUCGGGUAUGCAUACCCGUUUGCAUGUACUUUAUGAAUAAGGAUCGGCUAACUCCGUGCCAGCAGCCGCGGUAAUACGGAGGAUCCGAGCGUUAUCCGGAUUUAUUGGGUUUAAAGGGAGCGUAGAUGGAUGUUUAAGUCAGUUGUGAAAGUUUGCGGCUCAACCGUAAAAUUGCAGUUGAUACUGGAUGUCUUGAGUGCAGUUGAGGCAGGCGGAAUUCGUGGUGUAGCGGUGAAAUGCUUAGAUAUCACGAAGAACUCCGAUUGCGAAGGCAGCCUGCUAAGCUGCAACUGACAUUGAGGCUCGAAAGUGUGGGUAUCAAACAGGAUUAGAUACCCUGGUAGUC
rnacentral:rRNA from 1 species